UCAAAGGAAAAAUACAUUAAAAAUUAAAAACCAAAUGAUACUAUAAUUAGUUUGACCAUAAAAUCUGUUUUCCAGUAUUCAUUUACUAUAAACAUUGUCAUCUGUUUCUUUUCUUUAUUUCAUAAUUUCAUAAAUUUUCAUUUUUUAUCUAAUUUGACAUUUUCAUAUUUUUAAAGGUCCCCAGGUGCAUCCAAUUUUUCAACUUUACCAAAGAUCUCUCCUUCAUCUCUAUCAAAUAAUUAUAACAACAUCAACAACAGAAAGUAAGCGCUGAAUCUUAACCCUCUUUGUUUAAUUGGUUGGCAAGACAAUCUCUCUUAUCCAAAGUUAGGGGAAAAGUCCUGGGGAAUCAAAAUUUGCUUUCCUUUAAAUUGCUGAUAGUUCUUUCAAGAGUCACUUUACAAGAAAUAAAACACUUUUCAAAAACUACUUGACUUAAUAAAGAAUAAUACAAUAGCUGACUGAAAAAAAAAUGAAUUUUCAUUUUAGAAAUUUUCAUUUUAAAUUUUAGAAUCUUGUAUUCUAAAAUUUAGAUUUUAACUGUUGAAAUUUCUAUAGGAUUUUCUUACUGCUCAAAGACAAAUACAGCUCUCCUGUGUCGCCUUAGUCCAGUCAGUCACCCAUAAUAAAGGGUGUGACACUGAGGCUUACCCGGAGAGCAGACCAUGGGGAAGCACUUUUUAAAUAUUAAAAAGGUUUUUUCCAUGUUAAGUGAUACUUAGAAUUAUGCAGUUUGUGAAAAUAUGUGGUUGGCUUCAUUGUAUUUUAAAAGGUUGAAAGUCACGUGGACCUUCCCGUACCAUGUGAACUGUAUGUACCAUGUGAACUGUAUGUACCAUGUGAACUGUAUGUACACUGAACUCAGGUUCUCAGGCUUGCUUGUAUGCUAAACAGUUGACAUGCUGAGCCAUUUUACUGGCAAAAACAUGGCAUUUUCAUUUUACUG
rnacentral:lncRNA from 1 species